GUCAGGGUGCAGGCUAACAGGUUUUAAUCAAAUCCUGAAAAAAGUAGAAAAAAUAAAUAAUGUCCUGCCACAUUUCCUCUCAUUUAAUAUUCAUUGCUUUUAAAUACUAAGAAGUUCACAAACCCUAUAGUGGACUUUUCACCUGCAUGUCUUACACUGUUUCUAUGUACCACUACUUCUGUGUAUUGCAAUGGUAAUUGCAGGUAAAAGUGUGUUAUAGUGUGUGCUUAUCAGGUUGUGUGCUAAGGAACUAUUCUAACAUCAUUAUUUAUCAUUACAGGAGUCACUCAGGUGCAUCUAAGGGCCCCUCAUGAGGUCAGAACAGUGUUCCACACUGCUGAGAAAGUCAGGAGACCCACUGAGUACCUGGUUUCUCCUCAUUUAACUAACUGCACCUGUGGGUCCAAGACUGACCAGCAGGACACAGGACACCUGUCACUUAGCUUGAGGGAGGCUCUUGAACGGUUUCGUCCAGAUUUCAUCUCUAGCUCUCAGAAUCGGCUGCGACGAUUGGAACUGAGGGCCAGAGAGAGGCGGGGCUUACAAACAGCUGAAUUUAUCAUAGGCGUGGAGACAGCUAACUGUAGGCGGAACUGCUCCAAGCCAAACCCACUUAGUGAUAACCUUUUCAAACCCAGGGACAGAGCCAUCUCAUGCAAGGAGAUGCAGUGGAGAUCCAGGCGGAUUUACAACAAACUCCCUGAGGUGACCAAAAAGAAGGAGGAGGAGAGGAAGAGGCUGGUGUUGGAAACCAACAGACUGAGGGCAGAGGUGUUCAAAAAGAAAGUUUUGGAUCAGAUUCUUCAAAGACACGGUGACUGAGGGAAGUGCCUGUUCACAAGAUUCAUAUCCCCCUGCGUUCACCUUGCCUGAGGCAAAGAGCUGAAGACAAGGAAGACCUUUGCAGCUUCCUCCUGAGAUCAGAGCUUGGUUUCUGAUGCAUUGUUCCAAAUAUAAAACACCUUUUCCUGGACCUGGGGUGAAUCCAUAUGACAUAAGAAUGCAUGACAAUAUGGGCUGUUAUGAUAGGUAUUUUUGAAAAUGCAGUAUAAGAACAAGAUUCUAGACCUGGUUGGAGUCUGUUUUCUGUUGAGAAUAUGCUGUAAAAUAAAUACUGCAGAAGAUGGCAUGUAAAACAUAAAAAUGUAGUUUUAAAAUAUAUAUUUUACAUAUUUUUUUCCACCAGUGGAAAUGGGUUGACCUUAUCUAAAGUUUAAACAAUCUGAUGUUUAAACAACCCAUUACAAAGAUUUAUUACGUACAGCUUGUUCUGGUAUUGAAAUGAUAGUAAUUUGGUUUUUAAAGAUCAUCAAUUAUGGUCUCAUAGUGUCAAGUAAUUAUUUGAAAAGAAAUAAAGAAA